ACAGAAACAUGCAGCAAAUCGAGACAGAAAGGAGAAAAUAGUUAAACAAUACUUUAAUUUUAUAGCUAUUUUUAUAUAUAAACUGAUAAAUGCACUUCUCUGGUUAAACAGACUCUUCUCUGAGAGGGUAUAAAAUAAAUAGAUCAUGGAGCAGUGAUGUCAUCAUUCUGGCAGAGCCGUCUGCCUCCUAAUAAAUGAUCUUGUUCAGUGAGGUCAGACACAGCUUGACAUGACUCUCCCUGAUAAGAUGAAUAGAAACUGUUCAUGCUUUUAGCUCCUGUGAGUUAGUUUUGUCUGGUCGGGCACCUUUUAGCAAAACCAUUUGAAAGCCUGUUUAGACAAAUCGGACAAGGUCCACAGAACACCACUUUCCUGCAACAAUUAUGUCAGCAAAUUCCCCAAAAUGGAGACCACAAUGAAUUAUCCCAAGUAUCUACCUACUUAUCAUCUUCUUCUCUACUUUUUCUCUCUUACCAUUAAACUACAUUUGUGUUUAUAAGAGGCUGGAGAGAAAAAAAAAUUAUAAAUUUAAAAUCAAAUACCUGCACUGCAACAGAAAUUUAUAUCAAUAUAUUUGGUGCAGACAUUUUGAUGUUCUUUAUAGUCCUUAUAACGUUUUUGCUCAUGUGCAAACAUUAUGUGCUGCGCAAAUCCAACAUUGCACAGCACCUGAAACACAUAAUCCCUGUCAUGAAACACUGUAGUGGCAGCAUCAUGCUGUGGUUAUCCUUUUCUCUAUCAGGGUCAGGGAAGCUGAUUGGAGUUGAUGGGAAGAUAUGUGGAUCUAGAUAUAGAUUCUGGAAGAAAAUCCAUUAAAGACUACAAAGGACUUCAAAAUGGGGCAAAGGUUCACCAUUCAGUGGGAAAACUACCAUAAACAUGCAGUCAAAACUACAACUGCAUGGUCAAAACAUAACCAUGGUUACAUCAAAUACAUUUUGUAAAAAUAUUUUCCUCCCCCUUCCCUUUGACACACCGCUUUAUGUUAUAGUCCAUCACAGACAAUCCAAAUCCAAUACAUUUAAGCUUUUGGUCAUAAUGCCACAAACUGUUCAGAAGUUUAAAUGGAAGAGAUUGUAACUUUUUAUUCUUCAUCACAUAUUCUAAUCUCAUUUUUGCAUUUUUGUGAAGCCUUCAUGCUUGGCUCUGUCAGAACAAAUCGACUCCCUUCAGUGAAUCUGGGUUAUAUAAUGAACUGUUUUAACAGAACAGUCUCUUCUCACCAACAGUCUGCUUCAGCAACAGCACAUUUCUUCAACUCCAUGCAGUUCAGUCACCUGUUCUCAGAAAAUCUGCUCCCUGACUGUUAAACUUGGAGGCUAAUAAGGGUUAAAUUGUUUUAACACAAUUAAGAUUGAAGUAUUUCAGCAAAUAUCUGGUGGAAGCAGUGGACUGGGUGUUUUCUUGUUUUCAUGUUUGUGGAAACAGCGACAUUUUUGAGCUACAGAUGAUUUUCUUCAAACAUUUGUCAUAUCCCCUGCAUGGCUUAGAUGUAUCCUUGUGAAAUAUGACAAGAUAAUGCAUACUGCAACAAAAGGAUUUAAGAAACUAAAUCACCAGCUAAAGUCCAAAUAUAUACACUUUAAACUUUGUUGUAGAAUCAAGCAAUUACUCUCUAGUUAAAGGUGAAGCAGCCAGGAUAUUAAUGGCUGACCUCCCUCCCUCUGUGGGAUUCAGUCCACCCACUUCUAACCUUGCCGUGAAACAAUCUGGCAACAUGAACACAGACCUUUUACAUUCAAAGCAAGCAGAGCCAUAACUUUCCUCUACUCAAUAAUCUACUUCCUUUAAGUUAAACCUUUAGUUCAGAUUAGUCUGUUUUCACCUGAUACCGAGCCGUUUAUUAGCUUUUUCAAAGCUUGCAAUUGAGAUGUAACUUUAAGUUUGGACUGUGUAUUUUGGUCUGCAUUCUGCGACACUGUCGCUUUUUCUAGAUUUUAUUUUAGUCCCUAAGUAUAAAUCAAACAAACAUAUACAGUAAUUACGUCAGGAAUCUUCUAUCUAUUCAUUUAUGAAUUUAAGUCAAAUCUUCUGCUUUAUCUAAGCUUAUGGUUUUUGAUGAACAAUGAUUACCUACGAGAGCAUUGGUGACUAAAGGCUUGGAUGCAGCUGGUCGUAGAAAACUGUUCAAGGAAGCUCUGUCCGCUCUGUUCUUGAGCUAAUCUGAAGGCCACAUGAGGUUUGGAGAUCUACAGUUACUGACUCUGCAGAAAGCAACCUCAAGGCACUAUACUGCUGACUUCGCACUGUGGUUUUCCAUGACCUCCCACUUUGAAUUGCAGUCGCUCCAAUUAAUUUCCACUUUGAUAUAAUACCACUAAUACCGGUGUGUUGAAUACUUAGUAGUGAGAAAGUUUCAGUUGGCAUCCCAUAUUGUUACCACAAUGGAAAUCACAGAUCUCCUAAGAGUGACCAGUUAUUUUACACGUUUGCAGAAGCAGUCUGCACCCCUCAGUGCUGGAUUUUACACACUUGUGGACAUGAAAGUGUUCUGAACACAUGAAUUAAAUUGUUUGGAGGGAUGAACAAAUACAUUUGGAAAGAAAGUGUCAGACAUUUGGUCAGACAGCUAUCCUCCUUCAGCGUAACAAAAACAAUAAGAAAAUAUAGAACAUGUUCAACUUUUUCUAGAAGAAAUUACGGACUUUUGUUGUACCUUUGUGUAGAGAAUGCAAGUCAAUAAUUUGCUAUGCUUUAGUUGUUGCACAUGUAUUUAUUGUUUUGUUGUUUCUUGGUAGUUGAGAUCGCACCUGCAGGCUCUGCUAAUAAGGAAAAGGUAUGGUAAAGUGGGAGAGGGACAAUGUGGGCCAGGACAAGGUCUUAGAAUAUUAUUUUGUGAGCUAUGAACCAAAAUAUAAAGCAUGAUCAAAAGGAGGAGUGAAAAUGAAAAGGGUUCAAAAACUGCCUUGUUAAUCUUCAUUUCAGAUAUCCAACAAAUAAUCUGUGACCAGUAAGGCUGUAUUUCCAAUCAAAAAUGGCAACCCAGAAUUAUAUUCACUGUUUUACUCUCCUAAGAUAACCAGUUAUGUGACGAACACCAGCAGACCAGGAAAUCAAAGGUAAUGAUGUAUUUACAAAAAAAGUAGAUCAAUGAAUAAAUUACUUUCAAACAGCAAUUAUUUUCAUUAGUUCAUCUGUCCCUGCUGUUAAUUGAAACCUAUCUGAGACAUGAGGUACAUGAGGUCAUAAUUCACCUGAAAGAGGUGUGUGAAGCAGAGCUGUGGUUUGAGUGCACAUAGGCGCAGUAGCUUGUGUGAAAACA